AUCAGUGAUGGAUUGGGAAGCCGAGGCGUGCCGUCCUGUCGAGUUUGGGCUGGGGGUUGGCCGGCGGCGGUGAGCAGAUGCCAUGCAGCGGGCGGCGCAUGGGUGAACGUGUGGGCGAGCCACUCUCAGGCCAUGACGUCGUGCCGGGCGCUCUCUGGAGCGGGUGUGCCUCGGGGUAGCCCAAAAGGGCUGGGUUUGGGGGGCUUUUGCUCCAAACUUUUCAAAAGAUCUCAUGAAACUCCAAAAGUAAAACAUGUAGCCCUAAUGUCUAGCUCAAAAUUUUACAGAAAGAGUUUGUUCAAAAAUGAAAUGGAUUUGACGUUACUAGUCUCUGA
rnacentral:lncRNA from 1 species